GAGUUUGAUCAUGGCUCAGGAUGAACGCUAGCGGCAGGCUUAACACAUGCAAGUCGAGGGGUAGUUACUUUCGGGUAAUGAGACCGGCGCACGGGUGCGUAACGCGUAUGCAAUCUACCUUUUACAGGGGAAUAGCCCAGAGAAAUUUGGAUUAAUGCCCCAUGGUAUUAUAGAGUGGCAUCACUUUAUAAUUAAAGUUCCAACGGUAAAAGAUGAGCAUGCGUCCCAUUAGUUAGUUGGUAAGGUAACGGCUUACCAAGACGAUGAUGGGUAGGGGUCCUGAGAGGGAGAUCCCCCACACUGGUACUGAGACACGGACCAGACUCCUACGGGAGGCAGCAGUGAGGAAUAUUGGACAAUGGGCGCAAGCCUGAUCCAGCCAUGCCGCGUGCAGGAAGAAGCAUCUAUGGUGUGUAAACUGCUUUUAUACAGGAAGAAACACUCCCUCGUGAGGGAGCUUGACGGUACUGUAAGAAUAAGGACCGGCUAACUCCGUGCCAGCAGCCGCGGUAAUACGGAGGGUCCAAGCGUUAUCCGGAAUCAUUGGGUUUAAAGGGUCCGUAGGCGGUUUAAUAAGUCAGUGGUGAAAUCUGGUCGCUCAACGAUCAAACGG
rnacentral:rRNA from 1 species